CCUACGGGCGGCUGCAGUGAGGAAUAUUGGUCAAUGGGCGCGAGCCUGAUCCAGCCACGUCGCGUGAAGGAUGACUGCUCUACGGGUUGUAAACUUCUUUUAUAAAGGAAUAAAGUGAGGCACGUGUGCCUUUUUGUCUGUACUUUAUGAAUAAGGAUCGGCUAACUACGUGCCAGCAGCCGCGGUAAUACGGAGGGUCCGAGCGUUAUCCGGAUGUAGUGGGUGUAAAGGGAGCGUAGAUGGGUUGUUAAGUCAGUUGUGAAAGUUUGCGGCUCAACCGUCAGAUUGCAAUUGAUACUGGCAGUCUGGAGUGCAGUUGAGGCAGGCGGAAUUCGUGGUGUAGCGGUGAAAUGCUUAGAUAUCACGAAGAACUCCGAUUGCGAAGGCAGCUUACUAAACUGCCACUGACAUUGAUGCUCGAAAGUGUGGGGAGCAAACAGGAUUAGAUACCCUUGUAGUC
rnacentral:rRNA from 1 species